UUUGGACAUGGGGGCAACCCUGNUCCAGCAAUGCCGCGUGAGUGAGGAAGGCCUUAGGGUUGUAAAGCUCUUUCGCCCGCGACGAUGAUGACGGUAGCGGGAGAAGAAGCCCCGGCUAACUUCGUGCCAGCAGCCGCGGUAAUACGAAGGGGGCGAGCGUUGUUCGGAAUUACNUGGGCNGUAAAGGGCNCNGCAGGCGGCCCUGUUUGUCGAGUGUGAAAGCCCCGGGCUCAACCUGGGAGGUGCGCUCGAUACGGCGGGGCUAGAGAUCGGGAGAGGAGCGUGGAAUUCCCAGUGUAGAGGUGAAAUUCGUAGAUAUUGGGAAGAACACCGGUGGCGAAGGCGGCGCUCUGGACCGAGACUGACGCUGAGGCGCGAAAGCGUGGGGAGCAAACAGGAUUAGAUACCCUGGUAGUCCACGCUGUAAACGAUGUGUGCUAGACGUUGGGGAGCCUAGCUCUUCGGUGUCGCAGCUAACGCGGUAAGCACACCGCCUGGGGAGUACGGCCGCAAGGUUAAAACUCAAAAGAAUUGACGGAA
rnacentral:rRNA from 1 species